UUAACUGGGCGUUAAGUUGCAGGGUAUAGACCCGAAACCCGGUGAUCUAGCCAUGGGCAGGUUGAAGGUUGGGUAACACUAACUGGAGGACCGAACCGACUAAUGUUGAAAAAUUAGCGGAUGACUUGUGGCUGGGGGUGAAAGGCCAAUCAAACCGGGAGAUAGCUGGUUCUCCCCGAAAGCUAUUUAGGUAGCGCCUCGUGAAUUCAUCUUCGGGGGUAGAGCACUGUUUCGGCUAGGGGGUCAUCCCGACUUACCAACCCGAUGCAAACUACGAAUACCGAAGAAUGUUAUCACGGGAGACACACGGCGGGUGCUAACGUCCGUCGUGAAGAGGGAAACAACCCAGACCGCCAGCUAAGGUCCCAAAGUCAUGGUUAAGUGGGAAACGAUGUGGGAAGGCACAGACAGCCAGGA
rnacentral:rRNA from 1 species